GCAGCCGCGCCCCCAGCCGUAUUUCCGCUGGCGCAGAGCACCAGAGAGAGAGUCUUGUGGCUGCGGUUUGCAGACUGCUCUUCGCCCCCCUCCGCGAGGUUACCCCUGUACUCGCCGCCAUCCAUCCUGACGCCCGGGAUGAGUCACUGAGAGGCAGCGCCCGAGGCGUGGUCUUCCCAAGAACCCCCAGUGGCCUCCCAAGGCCGGUGCUGUGUACCUCCUUCCCGACAAAAGGGGAAACUGAGGCCCCGAGGGGAGUGGGAAGAGCCGGCCGGACGUCAGGCCCAGCCCCUGGUGCAGUGCUGCGUCCCCUCCACCGGGGUGGGCCCCUCAGGAUUCGCGUGUCCUCGGGAAAAAGACUGGCGGGCCUCGUGGGCUGUGCGGCUCUCCUGGAGACAGAUGACAGCUCUCCCUUGGAUGACUUUGCUGGUUCCGCACCAGCCACAGCCCCCGUUUUUCCCGCAGCACCCUGAUCUGCACUCCCUGAGGGGCUCCCACUGUCCGCGCGGUGAGAAUGUCCCUGGAUAGUCCACUGUGUGCAGAGGCAUGGGAGUUGUCAUGUCGGGAACAUGCUAGACCUCCGUGUCCUUGAGCUUGAAGAAAGAUGGCAGAGCACUGGCGACCAAGCACUUGCAGCCUCCUGCUCUGUGGCCCCUCCUCACUCCAGGGAUGCCGCCCUGGGUCUGGAGACUGUUGGAGGAAACCCCAGGAGGUGCAGGCACUGAGCCUCUCGAGACAAUGACCUGGGGUCCCAGCUUCCCUGGAGGGGUCUCCUCAUGAUUGUUUGAGGGUUGAUCACAGACCAAAAGUGAUGAGUGAUGUCACUCCAUGACGCAUGGCUGGACCUUCUUGCCCCUAUUGUCUCAGCACAACACUAAUCGACUUUUCCCUCAGCGUGGGUGGAGGGUGGGCAGAGGAAAAGCCCUGUGGCUCUGGGGACUUGGGAUCCAGAGGUGAAGACCUUUCAGCUGGCUCUGCCCUGCCAGUGCCACAGAGUGCCAUGGCCCAGGAAGACUGGUUUUCUUCCAUCUAGGCCAGGCCAUCCAGUGGCCAUCCUCCGUGUCCUCCUGCCUGUUCCUGGUGUGACUUCUGAAAACCAAGAAUUUGUUCCUGUUGACUUUUUCUGUGCUGUGGACCAUUGUCCUCUCACGCACUCAAUAAAUCUUGAAACAUGCCCUGCUGCUA